AUCUGGACUCAUGGUGAUUUCAAUGUUAGAAGUUAAGGCUGGCUGAGACUGCUGGGAACUGAAUUCUAAGAAGAUCUGAUUCUCCAUCCCUGCCCUAGAUUGAGAAUGUUACCCCUUUGUUAUGGAGUUCCUGGAACUGCAACUGUAGAGACUUAACUACAAUUUCUAGGAAAGAAGAGAGAUUGAGACAAGAAAAAGAUAUGAAAUUGAUAACAUUUGUGUCGUUUUCAUAUUAUUGCAUUUCCAAACCCAC